GACGAACGCUGGCGGCGUGCUUAACACAUGCAAGUCGAACGGAAAGGCCCUGCUUUUGUGGGGUGCUCGAGUGGCGAACGGGUGAGUAACACGUGAGUAACCUGCCCUUGACUUUGGGAUAACUUCAGGAAACUGGGGCUAAUACCGGAUAGGAGCUCCUGCUGCAUGGUGGGGGUUGGAAAGUUUCGGCGGUUGGGGAUGGACUCGCGGCUUAUCAGCUUGUUGGUGGGGUAGUGGCUUACCAAGGCUUUGACGGGUAGCCGGCCUGAGAGGGUGACCGGCCACAUUGGGACUGAGAUACGGCCCAGACGCCUACGGGAGGCAGCAGUGGGGAAUAUUGCACAAUGGGCGGAAGCCUGAUGAAGCAACGCCGCGUGCGGGAUGACGGCCUUCGGGUUGUAAACCGCUUUCGCCUGUGACGAAGCGUGAGUGACGGUAAUGGGUAAAGAAGCACCGGCUAACUACG
rnacentral:rRNA from 1 species